rnacentral:rRNA from 1 species
CAGCCGCCGCGGGAAAACGUAGGUGGCAAGCGUUGUCCGGAAUUAUUGGGCGUAAAGGGAGCGCAGGCGGUUUAGUAAGUCUGAAGUUAAAGGCAUUGGCUCAACCAAUGUAUGCUUUGGAAACUGUUAGACUUGAGUGCAGAAGGGGAGAGUGGAAUUCCAUGUGUAGCGGUGAAAUGCGUAGAUAUAUGGAGGAACACCGGUGGCGAAAGCGGCUCUCUGGUCUGUCACUGACGCUGAGGCUCGAAAGCGUGGGUAGCGAACAGGAUUAGAUACCCCCGUAGUCCCUGUCUCUUAUACA